UGGGUAACCUGCCUCAAAGAGGGGAAUAGCCUCCCCGAAGGGGAGAUUAAUACCGCAUAAUAUGUUUAGGUCGCAUGACUUUAACAUCAAAGGAUUUUCUUUUAGAAAUUCCACUUUGAGAUGGACCCGCGGCGCAUUAGCUAGUUGGUGAGGUAACGGCUCACCAAGGCAACGAUGCGUAGCCGACCUGAGAGGGUGAUCGGCCACAUUGGAACUGAGACACAGUCCCGGACUCCGUAGGGAGG
rnacentral:rRNA from 1 species